rnacentral:rRNA from 1 species
GACGAACGCUGGCGGCGUGCCUAAUACAUGCAAGUAGAACGCUGAAGGAGGAGCUUGCUUCUCUGGAUGAGUUGCGAACGGGUGAGUAACGCGUAGGUAACCUGCCUGGUAGCGGGGGAUAACUAUUGGAAACGAUAGCUAAUACCGCAUAAUAGUAGAUGUUGCAUGACAUUUGCUUAAAAGGUGCAAUUGCAUCACUACCAGAUGGACCUGCGUUGUAUUAGCUAGUUGGUGAGGUAACGGCUCACCAAGGCAACGAUACAUAGCCGACCUGAGAGGGUGAUCGGCCACACUGGGACUGAGACACGGCCCAGACUCCUACGGGAGGCAGCAGUAGGGAAUCUUCGGCAAUGGACGGAAGUCUGACCGAGCAACGCCGCGUGAGUGAAGAAGGUUUUCGGAUCGUAAAGCUCUGCUGUAAGAGAAGAACGAGUGUGAGAGUGGAAAGUUCACACUGUGACGGUAUCUUACCAGAAAGGGACGGCUAACUACGUG